rnacentral:misc_RNA from 1 species
GAUGAAGAACGUAGCAAAAUGCGAUAAGUAAUGUGAAUUGCAGAAUUCAGUGAAUCAUCGAAUCUUUGAACGCACAUUGCGCCCGCCAGUAUUCUGGCGGGCAUGCCUGUUCGAGCGUCAUUUCAACCCUCAAGCACUGCUUGGUGUUGGGACUCGCGUUAAUUCGCGUUCCCCAAAUUGAUUGGCGGUCACGUCGAGCUUCCAUAGCGUAGUAGUAAAACCCUCGUUACUGGUAAUCGUCGCGGCCACGCCGUUAAACCCCAACUUCUGAAUGUUGACCUCGGAUCAGGUAGGAAUACCCGCUGAACUUAAGCAUAUCAAUAAGCGGAGGA